CAUGCCUUAAAAAUGGAAUUUAAUAAACGGAUGAAAUUCAUGAACUCAAUUUCGUAGUCAAAAUAACCUAAAAAGUACAUACCCCUGCAGGGUUCAUCAGAAGUAUACUGUAAAGUACCAUUAAAUAUAAAAGAUACCAUAAAUCAUGAGUGAGUGAACGAACUUAACUAAAUUCUCAUUGUAUUGAUCCCAGAGGAAUAGGCGGCUUCCACCGACGGGGCCCAACCAUGAAGCAAUUAUAUAAGGGUCUAGUCGGCCAAAUUUCUUCCCUAACAAUGUUGUCAAUAAGUGCGACUGAAGGGGCACUGCGCUGUAAGUGUAAGUAAAACGACAAUGGUGUGUGCUGAUUGGAGAAAAGGAUUUCAAAUUUUCUUUAUUAUUUUGAUUUUUAAUAAUUUACUUCUUGAAAGUUGUCGUUACUAUUGAUUUUAUACCCGGUACUCGAAGAAUAAAUGGGGUAUAUUGUAUUUGUGCGAAUAACGGUUGUAUUUAACGCACAGAAGGAAAAGUUUCCGACCCCAUAAAGUAUAUACAUAUAUUCUUGAUCAGCAUCAAUAGCCGAGUCGAUAGAGCCAUGUCUGUCCGUCCGUCUUGUUUGUCGGCUAGUUCUCAGAGACUAUAAGAGCUAGAGCCACCAAAUUUUGGCUCCGGACUGCUGUAUGCUCACACUGAAACCAGUGUGUUUCAAAAAUUAGCUCCGCCCCCUUCCGCCUCCGCAAAAGGGCGAAAACCUUCAAAACCUACAGUUUUGAGAAUAAAAGAAAAUUUAUUCCGUAGGGAAUAAACAUAUCUAUCAGAUCACCAAAUUGGGAUCCGAUUGAAUCAUUAUUAUAGCCACAAUGGAGAAAUUAAUUUCCAGUGGCUAAACCCACCCUGUCCCGAAGCUUUUGUUGCUCUUUUUACAUUCUCUAAUUCACACUCUGCUUCUGCUUCACUCGGCCCUGCCUCUGCCCACCCCCUGCUGAUGCCACUACCGACUUUUAGCCCACCCCGUCCCGCAGGUAAAGGAGCGUGUUGGUGUGAGAUUGUAGAUGUAGAUGACAGAUGAAGAAAAAAUUUAAAAUUUGACAAAACACCGCUAAGGUGCAGAUGUAGUACUGAGUGGCGGGUAUAAAAGUUGUGACUCGUGAAAAGCGUCUCACUCGUCCCUUCUCGUUUUUUUUUUGUUGUGCGUGAGCUGCCUGUGCCUCUGCCGUGAGUUUGCAGUGUGUGGGUCCAGGGGCGAGCUAACGGAACGUGUUGGUGUAAGAAUUGUUGUAGAUGUAGAUGACAGAUGAAGAAAAAAUUACAAAUUUGACAAAUAACCGCUAAGGUACAGAUGUAGUACUGAGUGCCGGGUAUAAGAGUUAUGACGCCUAAGAAGCGUCUCACACGUCCCUUCUCGUUUUUUUGUUGUUAUUUAAUCGCUACAGCGAAAUUGGAUGGUCGCAUGACGAUGAGUCUGCAUUGACCAGGUACUUCAGUUUAUGUUGGGGGAAUAAUCGGAAAAAAAUAUUUUGUACUGAAAAUUUUGAACUUAAAAAGAGUUGUUUGUCGAACAAAGUGGAGUGAGAAAUAGACUUGCAACUUUAAAUUUUUCUCAAGGAAUUUUAGUUAUACCUGGUACUCGAAGAGUAAAGGAGUAUUUGUGCACAAAAGUGUAUGUAUAUACAUAUGUAACGCACAGAAGAAAACGUUCCCGACCCCAUAUUCUUGAUUAGUAUCAAUGGCCGAGUGUAUACCUGCCUGUCUGUCAGAGACUAUUCUAUUUAGUCUUCCAGUACCGGGUAUAAAAAGUUUUUUUUGGUUCCAAGCGGAAAAAUGGUGCCAGUUUUCCUGUUUAAGUGCAAAUUAUGCGAAAAGGAAAAUUUUUUGCUUUUCUCGCGAAAUAUUUAAUAUGUUUUAUACUCUAUUAGUUUACAUCUAAGAGAAUUGGGAUUUACAUGUAUUACAAGUCAUCGGAGGGUGGGUACCGCCUCCAUUUCAUAGCUUAGGUUUCUAAGCCUAUUAACAAUAAUGCAAUUACUUCUUAAUUGCCGCUAACAGGUUGACGG
rnacentral:lncRNA from 1 species